rnacentral:tRNA from 1 species
GGUAGAGCAGUCCGGUAGCUCGUCGGGCUCAUAACCCGGAGGUCGGAGGUUCAAAUCCUCCCC